UACGUAGGGACCAAGCGUUGUUCGGAUUUACUGGGCGUAAAGGGCGCGUAGGCGGCGCGGUAAGUCACUUGUGAAAUCUCUGAGCUUAACUCAGAACGGCCAAGUGAUACUGCAGUGCUAGAGUGUGGAAGGGGCAAUCGGAAUUCUUGGUGUAGCGGUGAAAUGCGUAGUUAUCAAGAGGAACACCUGAGGUGAAGACGGGUUGCUGGGCCAACACUGACGCUGAGGCGCGAAAGCCAGGGGAGCAAACGGG
rnacentral:rRNA from 1 species